rnacentral:rRNA from 1 species
CGGUGACUGCGUACCUUUUGUAUAAUGGGUCAGCGACUUAUAUUCUGUAGCAAGGUUAACCGUAUAGGGGAGCCGAAGGGAAACCGAGUCUUAACUGGGCGUUAAGUUGCAGGGUAUAGACCCGAAACCCGGUGAUCUAGCCAUGGGCAGGUUGAAGGUUGGGUAACACUAACUGGAGGACCGAACCCACUGUCUUUGAAAAGCCAGGGGAUGACUUGUGGAUAGGGGUGAAAGGCUAAUCAAACCUGGAAAUAGCUGGUUCUCCCCGAAAACUAUUUAGGUAGUGCGUCAUGUAU